rnacentral:rRNA from 1 species
GACGAACGCUGGCGGCGUGCUUAACACAUGCAAGUCGAACGGAAAGGCCCUGCUUUUGUGGGGUGCUCGAGUGGCGAACGGGUGAGUAACACGUGAGUAACCUGCCCUUGACUUUGGGAUAACUUCAGGAAACUGGGGCUAAUACCGGAUAGGAGCUCCUGCUGCAUGGUGGGGGUUGGAAAGUUUCGGCGGUUGGGGAUGGACUCGCGGCUUUCAGCUUGUUGGUGGGGUAGUGGCUUACCAAGGCUUUGACGGGUAGCCGGCCUGAGAGGGUGACCGGCCACAUUGGGACUGAGAUACGGCCCAGACUCCUACGGGAGGCAGCAGUGGGGAAUAUUGCACAAUGGGCGGAAGCCUGAUGCAGCAACGCCGCGUGCGGGAUGACGGCCUUCGGGUUGUAAACCGCUUUCGCCUGUGACGAAGCGUGAGUGACGGUAAUGGGUAAAGAAGCACCGGCUAACUACGUGCCAGCAGCCGCGGUGAUACGUAGGGUGCGAGCGUUGUCCGGAUUUAUUGGGCGUAAAGGGCUCGUAGGUGGUUGAUCGCGUCGGAAGUGUAAUCUUGGGGCUUAACCCUGAGCGUGCUUUCGAUACGGGUUGACUUGAGGAAGGUAGGGGAGAAUGGAAUUCCCGGUGGAGCGGUGGAAUGCGCAGAUAUCAGGAGGAACACCAGUGGCGAAGGCGGUUCUCUGGGCCUUUCCUGACGCUGAGGAGCGAAAGCGUGGGGAGCGAACAGGCUUAGAUACCCUGGUAGUCCACGCUGUAAACGGUGGGUACUAGGUGUGGGGUCCAUUCCACGGGUUCCGUGCCGUAGCUAACGCUUUAAGUACCCCGCCUGGGGAGUACGGCCGCAAGGCUAAAACUCAAAGGAAUUGACGGGGCCCCGCACAAGCGGCGGAGCAUGCGGAUUAAUUCGAUGCAACGCGUAGAACCUUACCUGGGUUUGACAUGGAUCGGGAGUGCUCAGAGAUGGGUGUGCCUCUUUUGGGGUCGGUUCACAGGUGGUGCAUGGCUGUCGUCAGCUCGUGUCGUGAGAUGUUGGGUUAAGUCCCGCAACGAGCGCAACCCUUGUUCACUGUUGCCAGCACGUUAUGGUGGGGACUCAGUGGAGACCGCCGGGGUCAACUCGGAGGAAGGUGGGGAUGACGUCAAGUCAUCAUGCCCCUUAUGUCCAGGGCUUCACGCAUGCUACAAUGGCUGGUACAGAGGGUGGCGAGCCUGUGAGGGUGAGCGAAUCUCGGAAAGCCGGUCUCAGUUCGGACUGGGGUCUGCAACUCGACCUCAUGAAGUCGGAGUCGCUAGUAAUCGCAGAUCAGCAACGCUGCGGUGAAUACGUUCCCGGG